rnacentral:rRNA from 1 species
CUGGCGGUGUGCCUCAUACAUGCAAGUCGAACGAGAAACUCACUUCGGUGAGUGGAAAGUGGCGGACGGGUGAGUAAUAUGUAGGAAAUCUGCCCUAGAGAGGGGGACAACAGAGGGAAACUUCUGCUAAUACCCCAUACGAGCUUGGUUGAAAUACCAAUCUUGAAAAACUCCGGUGCUCUAGGAUGAGCCUGCAUCUGAUUAGCUAGUUGGUGGUGUAAUGGACCACAAAGGCGACGAUCAGUAGCUGGUUUGAGAGGAUGAUCAGCCACAAUGGGACUGAGACACGGCCCGUACUCCUACGGGAGGCAGCAGUAGGGAAUUUUGCGCAAUGGGGGAAACCCUGACGCAGCAACACCGCGUGAAUGUUAAGCCCUUCGGGGUAUAAAGUUCUGUCAAUGGGGAAGAAUAAAUGACUGUACCCAUAAAGGAAGCACCGGCUAACUCCGUGCCAGCCGCAGC